CGUAGGGGGCGAGCGUUGUCCGGAUUUAUUGGGCGUAAAGAGCUCGUAGGCGGUUGGGCAAGUCACGUGUGAAAUCUCUACGCUCAACGUGGAGGCGCCACGUGAGACUGCCCUGACUAGAGUCCGGUAGGGGAGCGUGGAAUUCCCGGUGUAGCGGUGAAAUGCGCAGAGAUCGGGAGGAACACCCGUAGCGAAGGCGGCGCUCUGGGCCGGUACUGACGCUGAGGAGCGAAAGCGUGGGGAGCAAACAGGAUUAGAUACCCUGGUAGUCCACGCCGUAAACGUUGGGCACUAGGUGUGGGGCUCUAUCGACGGGCUCCGUGCCGUAGCUAACGCAUUAAGUGCCCCGCCUGGGGAGUACGGCCGCAAGGCUA
rnacentral:rRNA from 1 species